rnacentral:rRNA from 1 species
GUCCAGACUCCUACGGGAGGCAGCAGUGGGGGAUAUUGCACAAUGGAGGAAACUCUGAUGCAGCGACGCCGCGUGAGGGAAGACGGUCUUCGGAUUGUAAACCUCUGUCUUUGGGGACGAAUUGAGACGGUACCCAAGGAGGAAGCUCCGGCUAACUACGUGCCAGCAGCCGCGGUAAUACGUAGGGAGCAAGCGUUGUCCGGAAUUACUGGGUGUAAAGGGAGCGUAGGCGGGAUAGUAAGUUGAUUGUUAAAACUAUCGGCUCAACUGGUAGAUGCGAUCAAAACUGCAAUUCUUGAGUGAAGUAGAGGCAGGCGGAAUUCCUAGUGUAGCGGUGAAAUGCGUAGAUAUUAGGAGGAACACCAGUGGCGAAGGCGGCCUGCUGGGCUUUAACUGACGCUGAGGCUCGAAAGUGUGGGUAGCAAACAGGAUUAGAUACCCUGGUACA